GUUUGAAUCUUCACGGCUUGGUAUGAAGAUUUUUCUAGAAAUAUACCACAGACUAUAAUUGCUGGGUUGAAGAAAUUCAUUUUCUCCUGAGAAAGACGAAAACAAGAACGAGGAUUUGUCCUCUGGCUGACCAAUGAUUUACAGG